rnacentral:rRNA from 1 species
UACGUAGGUGGCAAGCGUUAUCCGGAAUGAUUGGGCGUAAAGGGUGCGCAGGCGGUCCAGAAAGUCUGUAGUAAAAGGCAUUGGCUCAACCAAUGUAUGCUGUGGAAACUGAUGGACUAGAGUGCAGGAGAGGGCAGUGGAAUUCCAUGUGUAGCGGUAAAAUGCGUAGAUAUAUGGAGGAACACCGGUGGCGAAGGCGGCUGCCUGGCCUGUAACUGACGCUGAGGCACGAAAGCGUGGGGAGCAAAUAGG